CUAAUAUUUAUCUCUGUGUAGGCAAUUCAUCCUAGAGUUAUUUACCAUCAAAAAGGAUACUUUUGACGGAUCAAAAAAGUCGCAAUGACUACCAGGGAAGGUGGGCAAUACCAUAAAGUUUGAAACGUUGAUUGUAUAUGAGAUGAUCACGAAUUAUUUUAGCUUAAGUCGUAUAAAAUUAAAACCAUCAGUUACAAUAUGUAAUAGUUUCACCAAAACAACCCUUUUUAUUAGCGGGAAAAGUACCGAACUUAACUCCCAUCCCACCUAAGAUUCAUUCUUCACCAUCCAACCCUUCUCUCUCUCUCUCUCUCUCUCUCUCUCUCUCCCUCCUUCGUCGCUUCCUCCUCUGCAUCAGAACUUAUCAAUACAGCCCCGUCAACCACCGUCAAAAGGGUUGGUGCCUCGUGCACUCCUCGCCUCCUUCUCCUUGAUGGGGAAGAGCUCGUCGUCCCCCUCGCCGUCCUCGUCGCCAUUGCCAGCAUCGGACAUAGAGAAGGGCACCAAAAUGCCCCGUCCCGCCCAUCACCAUUUUCCUCCGCCGCCGCCUCCGAAGCAGUGGUUCUCGUGGGUCAUCCCGCUCAUCUUCUUGGCCAACAUCGGGCUCUUCGUGUACACGAUGUACGUCAAUGACUGCCCCAGAAAAAAGCCCAAGGGUUGCACCCUGUAUCCUCUGCUAGGGAGGUUCUCUUUUCAGCCAUUGAAGGAGAACCCUCUCUUAGGCCCCUCCGUCCUCACGCUGGAAAAACUUGGAGGCCUCGAGCGAAAACUUGUGGUAGAUGAUGCUCAAGGAUGGCGAAUGAUAUCCUGCAUAUGGCUUCAUGCGGGAGUCUUACAUUUGGCUACUAACAUGUUGAGCCUCAUGGUUGUUGGCAUAGGACUCGAGCAAGAGUUUGGAUUUCUGAAAAUUGCAGCUUUAUAUGUGCUCUCUGGCUUUGGGGGAAGCUUGUUAUCUACACUAACCAUCGAUGAAGACUCGAAAAUAUCAGUCGGGGCAUCCGGUGCUCUUUUUGGACUGUUGGGAGCUAUGCUUUCUGAGCUGAUCACAAACUGGACCAUUUAUGCGAAUAAGUGCACAGCUCUUUUCACUCUAGUGAUCGUGGUUGCCAUAAAUCUGGCCGUCGGGCUUCUCAUACCUCACGUGGAUAACUCAGCCCAUAUAGGAGGGUUCAUCUCCGGGUUCCUUCUAGGGUUUGUUCUCCUAAUUCGUCCCCAAUUUGGGUACGUAAGCAGGAGGUACAUCCCCGAUGGAUACGAUGUGAAGCACAAAAAGUCCAAGCAUAAGAGCUACCAAUAUUGUUUAUGGGUGACGGCUCUAAUCCUCUUAGUUGCAGGAUAUGCUUCAGGAUUGGCUAAGCUGUUCAACGGCCAGGUUCUGAAGAAUGUGCCGUUUUAGAGAAUGGAUGAUGCCAUUGUUUCGAUCCCACCGCCUCUUGUUUGAGCAAUAGCAGAACAUGUCACUGUAUCUCAUCCGAUUUUUAUGUCAAAACUGUGAUUCUUUUCAAGGUUACAUACUUUCCUGAGCAUAUCAACAGAAAGCAGCAAAAUCAGAAGACUGGCGAAAGCGGCUAUCGGAAGACAUUUUGGAAGACCGAAAGUUUGUGUACACAAUAAUGCAAAACAUAUGCCUACUUGAUCAUGUUAAGCAUAAUAACUUGCUCGAAUUUGGCUUUUUUCUCGAGGAGCAGAACUUCAACGGCGGUUCGGUCUCGAGUUUUAGAUAAAAAUUUACCCUCCCUCUCUAAUCAUUUCGAGUUCGUUCCGAGUAGCCGUUCUCACAACAUACUUCCCUUUUGUGAGAUGACGGCAUACCCUUUCAGGGACAUUCCGUAACAAGCAUUGCGGUAGGAGCGCGUAAGCAGGAAAUAUUUGGGAGAUGAAGUGCUCAUUAGUAGUCAAAAUGAUGCGAGGAACACAAAACCGCGAUUCACGACAAAGUUUGGGAUUUGGAACAUCGAUUGUGUUAGAAAGGCUCAUUACCGUUUGAUCCCGCAAAACGCAAUCUCAGAAUUCGAUUGUUUCCUUUGCAGAUCUAAAUGAACUGUCAUUUAGCAGGACUUUUAAGACAA